rnacentral:rRNA from 1 species
GAGUUUGAUCGUGGCUCAGGAUGAACGCUGGCGGCGUGCUUAACACAUGCAAGUCGAACGAAGCGCCUUAUUUGAUUUUCUUCGGAACUGAAGAUUUGGUGACUGAGUGGCGGACGGGUGAGUAACGCGUGGGUAACCUGCCCUGUACAGGGGGAUAACAAUCAGAAAUGACUGCUAAUACCGCAUAAGACCACAGCACCGCAUGGUGCAGGGGUAAAAACUCCGGUGGUACAGGAUGGACCCGCGUCUGAUUAGCUGGUUGGUGAGGUAACGGCUCACCAAGGCGACGAUCAGUAGCCGGCUUGAGAGAGUGAACGGCCACAUUGGGACUGAGACACGGCCCAAACUCCUACGGGAGGCAGCAGUGGGGAAUAUUGCACAAUGGGGGAAACCCUGAUGCAGCAACGCCGCGUGAGUGAAGAAGUAUUUCGGUAUGUAAAGCUCUAUCAGCAGGGAAGAAAGUGACGGUACCUGACUAAGAAGCCCGGCUAACUACGUGGC